rnacentral:rRNA from 1 species
CGCAAGCCUGACGGAGCAAUGCCACGUGGAGGAUGAAGGCCCAUGGGUCGUAAACUCCUUUUCUCAGAAAAGAAAUUUGACGGUAUCUGAGGAAUAAGCAUCGGCUAACUCCGUGCCAGCAGCCGCGGUAAUACGGAGGAGGCAAGCGUUAUCCGGAAUUAUUGGGCGUAAAGAGUCCGUAGGUGGUUCAUCAAGUCUGCUGUUAAAGCGUGCAGCUCAACUGCAUAUAGGCAGUGGAAACUGUUGAACUAGAGUAUGGUAGGGGUAGGGGGAAUUCCCAGUGUAGCGGUGAAAUGCGUAGAGAUUGGGAAGAACACCGGUGGCGAAAGCGCCCUACUGGGCCAUAACUGACACUGAGGGACGAAAGCUAGGGUAGCG